rnacentral:rRNA from 1 species
GUCGAGGGGCAGCAUGAACUUAGCUUGCUAAGUUUGAUGGCGACCGGCGCACGGGUGAGUAACACGUAUCCAACCUGCCGAUGACUCGGGGAUAGCCUUUCGAAAGAAAGAUUAAUACCCGAUGGCAUAGUUCUUCCGCAUGGUAGAAUUAUUAAAGAAUUUCGGUCAUCGAUGGGGAUGCGUUCCAUUAGGUUGUUGGCGGGGUAACGGCCCACCAAGCCUUCGAUGGAUAGGGGUUCUGAGAGGAAGGUCCCCCACAUUGGAACUGAGACACGGUCCAAACUCCUACGGGAGGCAGCAGUGAGGAAUAUUGGUCAAUGGACGAGAGUCUGAACCAGCCAAGUAGCGUGAAGGAUGACUGCCCUAUGGGUUGUAAACUUCUUUUAUACGGGAAUAAAGUGAGGCACGUGUGCCUUUUUGUAUGUACCGUAUGAAUAAGGAUCGGCUAACUCCGUGCCAGCAGCCGCGGUUAUACGGAGGAUCCGAGCGUUAUCCGGAUUUAUUGGGUUUAAAGGGAGCGUAGGCGGACGCUUAAGUCAGUUGUGAAAGUUUGCGGCUCAACCGUAAAAUUGCAGUUGAUACUGGGUGUCUUGAGUACAGUAGAGGCAGGCGGAAUUCGUGGUGUAGCGGUGAAAUGCUUAGAUAUCACGAAGAACUCCGAUUGCGAAGGCAGCCUGCUGGACUGUAACUGACGCUGAUGCUCGA